rnacentral:lncRNA from 1 species
CGUGAUUUUGUGCAGGCUUACCUGGUGUUUGGUCCACAAGCCGGAUGCCGUGUCAGCCCCAGCACUACGAGAGGUCCUUCUACAUAGCCCAUCCAGGUACCCUCAACAGCAGCCAAGCAGGUGAAUCGCAAGCACGGAUUGAAGACGACCGGUCAAACGAUACCACCUGACCCUCAUCGCAAGCAAGGAUUAGAAGCGCAAUGCGUCAGUUAGGGUUACGAGAUGACUCAAUAAAGCGCAACGAAAGUAGGAAUGAACACGGGACAAACGUUUGUCCCGCGUCCA